AUGACAGUCGGCUGGAAAAUCCCCCUGGGGAAGCCCCAAAUCCGCAAUUCUGGCCCUAAAAUUCAGCUAAAAGCUCCAGGAGGGUCUGUCCUGACAGGGGAGUCCCCAGAGAGUCCCAAACUCACCCCGGGACUGCAGCAGGGUCACGGCCGCCUGAGCAACGUGGGGAAAGGUGCCCCGAGUGAGGAUUUGGGUCAGUUUGGAGCUUUUCCCGUCCCCAUCUGCCCCUGUCCCCGCAGGGCUGCGGCGGCCGUGACCCUGCUGGAGUCCGGGGGCACCUCCAGCCCCCCGGGGGGUCCCUGCGCCUCCUCUGCCGCGCCUCCGGCUUCAAUUUCGGGAGUUUUGGGAUGGGCUGGGUCAGACAGAGACCCGGGCAGGGGCUGGAAUGGGUCGCCAGUAUCGGCAACAACGGUGCCAGCACCUAUUACGCGCCAUCGGUCAAGGGCCGGUUCACGAUCUCCCGGGACAACGGGCAGAGCUCGGUGACGUUGGCCAUGAACAGCCUCAAGGACGACGAUUCCGCUGUUUAUUUCUGCGCCAAAUAUGCCGGUGCUGGUGCUGCUGGUGCUGCUGCUGGUGACAAUCCUGGUGCCGGCCUGUCCCCCAGGCCCUGAGCCCACAAACAUCCC